UGGGGAAUAUUGGACAAUGGGCGCAAGCCUGAUCCAGCCAUGCCGCGUGAGUGACGAAGGCCUUAGGGUUGUAAAGCUCUUUUGGCGGGGACGAUAAUGACGGUACCCGCAGAAUAAGCCCCGGCUAACUUCGUGCCAGCAGCCGCGGUAAUACGAAGGGGGCUAGCGUUGUUCGGAAUUACUGGGCGUAAAGCGCACGUAGGCGGACUGAUAAGUCAGGGGGUGAAAUCCCGGGGCUCAACCUCGGAACUGCCUUUGAUACUGUUAGUCUCGAGUCCGGAAGAGGUGAGUGGAAUUCCUAGUGUAGAGGUGAAAUUCGUAGAUAUUAGGAAGAACACCAGUGGCGAAGGCGGCUCACUGGUCCGGUACUGACGCUGAGGUGCGAAAGCGUGGGGAGCAAACAGGAUUAGAUACCCAUGUAGUCCCUGAGCGGGC
rnacentral:rRNA from 1 species